rnacentral:rRNA from 1 species
GUGGGGAAUCUUCCACAAUGGACGAAAGUCUGAUGGAGCAACGCCGCGUGAGUGAAGAAGGGUUUCGGCUCGUAAAGCUCUGUUGUCGGGGACGAAUGUGCAGUAUUUGAAUAAAGUACUGCAAUGACGGUACCUGACGAGGAAGCCACGGCUAACUACGUGCCAGCAGCCGCGGUAAUACGUAGGUGGCAAGCGUUGUCCGGAAUUAUUGGGCGUAAAGGGAGCGCAGGCGGGAAGGUAAGUCGGUCUUAAAAGUGCGGGGCUCAACCCCGUGAUGGGAUCGAAACUAUCUUUCUUGAGUGCAGGAGAGGAAAGUGGAAUUCCUAGUGUAGCGGUGAAAUGCGUAGAUAUUAGGAGGAACACCAGUGGCGAAGGCGACUUUCUGGACUGUAACUGACGCUGAGGCUCGAAAGCCAGGGGAGCAAACGGGAUUAGAUACCCCUGUAGUCC